rnacentral:lncRNA from 1 species
AAUUGUUAUCUUUAACUUGAAAAUGAUGCAUCGAAACAUCGUUGUAAUAAAAUAAAAUUAAUAUAUCGCUAUCAUUUGUUUCAAAGUUAAAUUUUUUCUAUGUAGCCUAUACGCGAUGAAAAGUAUUUUAAUUCUUCUCAAAAUUUCUUUGUACUAGCUUUAUUCUCUAGUUUAAACAGUCAUAGCUGCGUUUUUAAAUGCA